CCCACAGCAAAACGGUUCGUGUGAGUCCACCACACCGCGAAACGGUGGCAUCGUUUUUAACUCCGACUCUUCGUAGCCCUCACCGUAGCCCUCACCCUCAUCUCACACUCCGCCGACCCUAAUUGUGAUCCUAGAUUUCUCGCCUUCGCCGCCUCUCCCACUCGGAUAGGAGCCUCCAUCUCCGCCUCUGCAUUCUCACCUCCUUCGCCUUUGCGACGCUACCAUAGGCCGUCGAAGAGGGUGAAAAGGCCAAGAGAGAGAGUGGAGAAGGAGAAGAGGAAGAAGAGGGAGGCGAGGGGAAGGUCGUGGAAGAGGCGAGGGGAGGGAGCCCGUGUGCUCUGUCAAAACGCUAGGCUCCUCUGUCGCCUUCGAUGCCGCGCUUUUGAGGCUUCAAUGAAUACUGCGACUCUCCAAUUCUUCUCCAAACUCUAAGGUUUUGCUCCUUGCCCAUUCCUUUCUCUCUAUAUCUUCAUUAUUUAGAUUUAUGUUAUAAUAUGUUUUAGUCAAUUAAGGCUUCAAGACUUGGGUCUUUUGCAUUAGAUUUCUCUAUUAUGGUUUGUAUUAGAUUUGUUGCUAGGAUUUCGAUCCUCCAUUAACGGUGAUUAUGCUUAAGUUUUUUUUUUUUAUUUUUAGAAUUUUGUCUUUUUUGUCGUAAAUUGGGUGAUAUGAAAAAACCUAUUGAGAGAGAGGAAUCGGCGAGUUUGGAGAAGAUGAUGUUGAUCAAGCCAACAUGGGGAAACAUAAGGAUCGGUAUAUCAUUUAUGGCGGCUCUGAAAAGGUACAAGAUUGUGAUCUCCAUGCCGUCGUACACGAGCGUGGGGAGGAAGGUCGUCAUAAGGGCAUAUGGCACAAAUUUGGUGUUGAAUGACCCUCCCAAGGGGUGGGCGGAACCCUGAAGAAAGCAUAUGAACUCAUUCUAUAUAGGUUAACAGAGUAAAAAAUGGGGCAGGAUUAAAGGCAAGCUAAAACAACAACAGCUUUGUGUUCUUCUAUUUUUAAUUGUACAUCCCGCCGCCUCCUCAUGCUCCAUCCCCCCUGCCCCUACGCCUUCUUCUCUGCCUCAUUGUUUCUGCCGUUUUUCGUUUUCGAUGUUGCUGGAGCUCUAUCUCCAUCCUUGGUCUCGAUUCGCUUCUAGGGUUUCUUUCUACAUCGAUCUCUUCAGACUUUUGGAAGAAGCAGCUAAUCUAACAACUUUUUCGAUAGCAGAUGCUAAUUGGACCACGAUCAUGUAAGAAUCGAGGAGGUAAGUAUUGGAAACGGAAAACCCUAAUCAUAAUUUUCUUUUUUUUGUUUUUAAAUCCCGAAUAUUUACUUUAUAUCGAUCUAGGAUUUGAUCUUUACCUAUGGGAUCUCAUAGUGAAUUUGUUUAAUUUAAGUGCCUUUUACGAGUGAUUUAUUAUACUUUGUUUUGAAUAGAAAACUCAAUCAAUCAUUGUAAAAAAAGAAUGCUAAGAGAUAAAACUUCUAGAGGACUUAUUCUAUGUGGGUAAUAUUUUGUGUGUUAGUUUUUAUAAGUAUGAUUUAAUAUUAAUUCAAAUUUUACAUGCUGAGAUUCAUCUUUUUCUGUUUAAUACAACCGCUUUCAAUAGAAAGACGAAUUAUGAUUUUGAAAUUAUUUUACAUGCAACUUUAAAAUUCUUGGGUUUGACUUAUUUUAUCAUUUGACUUGAUGGUCUUUUACUGGUAUAUAGCCUUUUUCCUAUUCAAAUCUAUAGAAUUGUAUUUAUUGUGCAAAUUCAAAGAUAGUCUAAAGAUUUAUUUCAGUAUAAUUAAGAAAAUAAUUAGCUGAUAAAGUAGGUUACUUGACUGAUUAAGUUUAGAAAGUUUGGGUAUUGUGGUCAUUGAAAAAGUGGAUUUUGCUUGAGCAAGGUUUGUUGGCUUCCUUAUACCAAGAAACUACGUAUGACCACAUGCUUAAGUGAUGUUAUUAGUAAAUACACAAGUGAACUCUAUGCAGGCAUAUUUUUAUUUCAAGUCAGAUGUAUUAUUAUUUUAUUGUUUAAGGUAUUUUGUUUAAUGAUGCUGUUUACAUGCAUGCAUGUAAAUUUGUUGCUGACUACCUCUGAUUUGCUCGCGCCUUUUUCUCUUUUAUUUGUUAAAUAUGCAAUAGUAAUGAAGCCAUCAUCAUCCAUUUUAGGGAUUAAUACAUUAAUGGAUUAAAUAGAUUGCUUAACCAAUUAUGGUGAAGAUUUCUCGCUUCACUUCUAGCUGUUAUUAAGUGUCUAUCUAAAGGCUUGAAGUAAUCCAUUUUUGCUCCAUAUAGAUGUUUUCUUUCUCUGGUUCUCUUGCUAGAUAAGUUAAUUAUGAUGUAAAAAGGAUUCAUUUACAAGAAGAAUGCAGUGUGUGGUCUGAGAAGUAGUCAUUUUACUUGUAUUUUCUAUUGUUUAGAGCAAGAAAAUUUUAUAUUUUUA